AUUGAACGCUGGCGGCAUGCCUUACACAUGCAAGUCGAACGGUAACAGGCCGCAAGGUGCUGACGAGUGGCGAACGGGUGAGUAAUACAUCGGAACGUGCCCGAUCGUGGGGGAUAACGCAGCGAAAGCUGUGCUAAUACCGCAUACGAUCUACGGAUGAAAGCGGGGGAUCGCAAGACCUCGCGCGGACGGAGCGGCCGAUGGCAGAUUAGGUAGUUGGUGGGGUAAAGGCCUACCAAGCCGACGAUCUGUAGCUGGUCUGAGAGGACGACCAGCCACACUGGGACUGAGACACGGCCCAGACUCCUACGGGAGGCAGCAGUGGGGAAUUUUGGACAAUGGGCGCAAGCCUGAUCCAGCCAUGCCGCGUGCAGGAUGAAGGCCUUCGGGUUGUAAACUGCUUUUGUACGGAACGAAAAGGUUUCUUUUAAUACAGGGAACUGAUGACGGUACCGUAAGAAUAAGCACCGGCUAACUACGUGCCAGCCGCCGCGGUAA
rnacentral:rRNA from 1 species